rnacentral:rRNA from 1 species
UCUGGUUGAUCCUGCCAGUAGUCAUAUGCUUGUCUCAAAGAUUAAGCCAUGCAUGUCUAAGUAUAAGCAAUUUAUACAGUGAAACUGCGAAUGGCUCAUUAAAUCAGUUAUCGUUUAUUUGAUAGUUCCUUUACUACAUGGUAUAACUGUGGUAAUUCUAGAGCUAAUACAUGCUUAAAAUCUCGACCCUUUGGAAGAGAUGUAUUUAUUAGAUAAAAAAUCAAUGUCUUCGGACUCUUUGAUGAUUCAUAAUAACUUUCCGAAUCGCAUGGCCUUGUGCUGGCGAUGGUUCAUUCAAAUUUCUGCCCUAUCAACUUUCGAUGGUAGGAUAGUGGCCUACCAUGGUUUCAACGGGUAACGGGGAAUAAGGGUUCGAUUCCGGAGAGGGAGCCUGAGAAACGGCUACCACAUCCAAGGAAGGCAGCAGGCGCGCAAAUUACCCAAUCCUAAUUCAGGGAGGUAGUGACAAUAAAUAACGAUACAGGGCCCAUUCGGGUCUUGUAAUUGGAAUGAGUACAAUGUAAAUACCUUAACGAGGAACAAUUGGAGGGCAAGUCUGGUA